GUCAUUGUUCACUUUAGCCUUCUGAGAGAAACCCUAAAUCGAUUGUGUGCAUCUGGAGCAAGGUUAAAGGCCAUUGGUGAUUUUGAAGGAGUUGUUGUGCAAGGAAGAGAAGGGCUUGGCUAAAGGAACUGCAAGAGAGUCACGUUCUGAGGAUUGGGGACACAGAGAGUACAUCAUCCAGGGAGUUUGUAGCUCGGCGGAUCGAACACGAGUGAUUUCAGGAUUUGCUAGCUUUCAGUAUUCACGAGAGACAUCAUGGUUAGGCCACGCCACGGAGCGAGUUCGAGCGGUGUGAGUGAUGAGGAGAUUCGUCAGAUGAUUCACGAGGAGGUAGCUGCGGCGAUCCGGGCUGAGAUCCCGGAGAUGCUUGGGUCUAUUAAGACCACCCUGAUGGAGACGUUUGAGGAGCGGUACGCCGCAUUGACUGAAGCUGCAGCCGCUGCAGCUACCGCAGCUGUGGCCGCUGCCAGGCCACAGGGGGGUGACUCGUUGCUGUUCCGGGAGUUCAGCAACACGAAGCCACCUGAGUUCGAUGGGACGCAGGAUCCGAUUGCUGCGAUGAGGUGGAUCGCGGAUAUAGAGGGGUGCUUCUACACUUGUUCAUGCCCGGAGCACCUGAGGGUACGGUUCGCUUUGAACCAGCUCCGUCUGGGAGCGAAGGAUUGGUGGAAGUUCGUGACGGCGAACUUCACUUUGGCAGAGAUUACAGCAGUUACAUGGGAGGGGUUUACUGCUAUGUUCAGGGACGAGUACGUUCCCCCGGUGGAGAGGGAACGAUUGGUUCAGGAGUUCUUAACCCUCAAGCAGGGUACUGAUUCAGUUGC